rnacentral:lncRNA from 1 species
GAAGCUAACAAAGAAUCUUACAAAUACAGCAAAGAAGCUUGCGUUAAAGACAUAAAUUGAAAGAAGAUGCAUAAACCUAAGAAAUUUGUGCAAAAAAAAAGUGACAAAAAUAAAAAAUAAUAAAGUAUGCAUAUUUAAAAGAAAUUAGAAUGACUAUUGCCAAAAGACAAAAAAAAUUUGAGACUCUUGAAACUAGACUAGAAACAAGAAAGGAGUUGACAAGAGUGAAGAAAGCUUCAUUCUUGCCUUUAUAUAUACUAUCUACAUUAGAUCUAUGUGGUGACGUUCUAAAUGACCUCCAAAAACAUAUUGACUUUGCAUGAUACAUAUAUUGACUUGUAAGGCAAGUUUUUAUAUAGAUACUAUAUAAUUAGCUUGUUCUAUAAGCUACCAAUAUAUAUAGCAUAUAGAUAGCUUGUUAAAUAAGUAUUUAACCUAUCAAU